rnacentral:rRNA from 1 species
CCUACGGGUGGCAGCAGUGAGGAAUAUUGGUCAAUGGACGAGAGUCUGAACCAGCCAAGUAGCGUGAAGGAUGACUGCCCUAUGGGUUGUAAACUUCUUUUAUAUGGGAAUAAAACGUUCCACGUGUGGGAUUUUGUAUGUACCAUAUGAAUAAGGAUCGGCUAACUCCGUGCCAGCAGCCGCGGUAAUACGGAGGAUCCGAGCGUUAUCCGGAUUUAUUGGGUUUAAAGGGAGCGUAGGUGGAUUGUUAAGUCAGUUGUGAAAGUUUGCGGCUCAACCGUAAAAUUGCAGUUGAAACUGGCAGUCUUGAGUACAGUAGAGGUGGGCGGAAUGCGUGGUGUAGCGGUGAAAUGCUUAGAUAUCACGAAGAACUCCGAUUGCGAAGGCAGUUCACUGGACUGCAACUGACACUGAGGCACGAAAGUGUGGGUAUCAAACAGGAUUAGAUACCCUUGUAGUC